rnacentral:snoRNA from 1 species
GGCCAGUGAUGCAACAUUCCAUGCUAAUUCCGAAGCUUCUAAUGAAGAAGACUUUUCUCAUACCAAGAUCUGCACUGAGGCC